GGGGAAGAGUGGUCGCCCACUGACCCCGAGGGGGAGGAGCCCCUCCCUGAGCCUUGGUGGGCAGCACCUGGCCUUAGCGACCCACCUGACCAGAAACCAGGAGGCAGGCUGGGGAUAUAAAAGGCCUGUAGAGAGGCCAGUGAGGGUCUAGCGACCAAAGGAGCCAGAAGUCUCCCCUGUGCACCCAAAGGAGGAGUUGAACCCAGGGGAAGCCAAGGACUGGCCUAGGCUGCCGGGCCCACGAUUGCGUGGCUGCUGGGAAGGACUGCUUACUGGGCCAGAGGUUCCCGAGUGACAAAGCCCAGAGGACUUGCACUGGAUCCAGGAUAUACAUGUCCACAGGAUAUACAAGUUUAUUUUUACUCGCCUGUGCUGUGGUCUCCAUCCCCCCAACCCGGAGAAGGGUGGGUUGCGCCUGGCUGCAGCUGCCACUCUGGGUGCGAAUGCGGCUCACCUCCUACAGGCCGGCCUGCUCGCCUGUGCUUUGCUCUACAUUCCCCCCGCUGGCAGCAGUCUCUCCAACAGAUGUCUCCUACUUCCAUAGAAACUGAGCCAUAGACUGACAUAGCAGUUGUGAAGCAUUUCAGCUCCACUCUACACUGAGCUGUGUUGGGCUUUGGUGACUACUCUACCAGUGACUUCCAAUGGUGAAUCUUAUACCAGACUAUGUAUUGCCAAGAGGCAAAGUUUCAAACAGACACAACUUACCCCUACAUAUUUUGGAAAUCAACACCGUAUGAGUUUAUAAAAGAGAGAAGUAAAGGAGGAGCAGUUCAUAAGAUCUGUCUUGCUUUGUACUGAGUUCAAAUCCACCUCAACUGACACCACCGAAAGGAAGAAAUGAGUCUGUAAUCUCCGAAUGGGAUUUUGCAUUGCUGCCAUUAGUUGCAAAACUGCCAUUUGCUUCAGUGGGAGUAGAACUGGGCCCAAGGACUGGGUGUUUGGCUUGACCAUAUGCUACUCAUUGCAAUAUUGAGUUCUGAACAGAUUAACUGUGUAUUCUACUUAAUUAAAUGUGAUAACAAUAUUUACUGUAAAUAGUGCUCACGUAAUAUUUUAGAGAAAAGCAUGGCACAUAUAUUAACUAAAUAAGCCUUUAAGCAGUGGGUAAAUGUGAGUAUCCCCAUGUUACAGACAAAGAAAAAGACACAGAAAAGAAACAGUGCCCUGCCAAGAACAUGCAGAAGUCAAUGACAGACCCAGGAUCCCAGGUGCUUCUGGUUCCCAGACCUGCACUCAGGCCACCACACAAUUAAAACAGAGCCUAUAAGUAUGUUUGCUAGCUGUAUGUAGCCAAGCUUGCCCUAGGACAGGGAUGCCUGGCUGCACCCCCAUAAGGGCUAUGUCCUGCAGCUUGCAGCAUGCCAUAGAGAAUGAUAGUGAUUAGCAGUUGUCCUAUUUUAGCAAUAUCAUUUGAAAUUGCAUUUCUCAGCCAUGGCACUUGACAUUAUUAAAGAGCCUCAAAAUUUGCUGUUCCACAGAACUUAAUAUCUGGGCAUUCACUUCUUGCCACCCUCUCAUCAAUUUUAGUUAGCAGUACAAUGACCCACAAUGUCUGCUAUGUACAUUGGACAAAUGUCUCAGACACUUCACCAAAGGAUCAAUGCCCACAAAACAGAUAUCAGACAGGAUCACAAAGAAAAAACAGUUGCUUG